CAGCAGCAUCAGCAUCGACAGUAUGACCAAUUGCGUAAUCAUUAUCAUUCGUUACUUAAUGAUGCAAUAAGUAAGGAUGACUGUAAUGAUUCCAAUUCAGUACAUUCAAGUCAAUCUAUGCCAAAU
rnacentral:pre_miRNA from 1 species